CGUCCCCAAGUCAGGCGGCAUUACCCGCUGAGUUUAAGCAUAUCAAUAAGCGGAGGAAAUGAAACUUACAAGGAUUCCCCUAAUAACGGCGAGCAAACAGGGAACAACCCAGCCUUAGAAUCGGGCAUCUCUGUCGUCCGAAUUGUAGUUUGGAGAAGCGUCCUCAACGGCGGAUCGGGCCCAAGUCCCCUCGAAGGGGGCGCCGAACAGGGUGAGAUCCCUGUCGUGCCCGGACCCUAUCGCACCACGAGGCUCUAUCUACGAGUUGGGUUGUUUUGGAAUGCAGCGUAAAUCGGGGGUGAAUCCCAUCCAAGGCUAAAUACUUGCGAGAGGCCGAUAGCGAAAAACUACAGCAAGGGAAAGAUGAAAAGGAAUUCGAAAAGAGAGUCAAAGAGUGCUUGAAAUUAUCAGGAGGGAAGCGGAUGGGGGCCGGCGAUGCGCCACGAUCGGAUGUGGAACGGUGACGAGCCGGUCCAUUGAUCGACUCGGGGCGUGGACCAACGUGGAUUGAGGGGAGGACAAAGCUCGGGCUCUCGAUACGACCAUGGAACGCCGUCUCCCCGAUUGUGGAAGGCAGCGCGCGCCUCCGGCGUGCUUCGGCAUCUGCGCGCUCCGGACGCUGGCUUGUGGGCUCCCCAUUCUACCCAUUUUGAAUCACGGACCAAGGAAUCUGACAUGUGUGCGAGUCAAAGGUUGAGUAAACCCGUAAGGCGUAAGGAAGCUGAUUGGUGGUACCCCCCUGAGGGCUGCACCGCCGACCGACCCUGAUCUUCUGAGAAGGGUUCGACUGUGAGCAUACCUGUUGGGACCCAAAAGAUGGUGAACUAUGCCUGAGCGGGGUGAAGCCAGAGGAAACUCUAGAGGAGGCCCGCAGUGAUAGUGACGUGCCAAUCGAUCGUCUGACUUGGGUAUAGGGGUGAAAGACUAAUAGAACCGUCUAAUAGCUGGUUCCGUCCAAAGUUUCCCUUAGUAUAGCUGGAGCUCGCAUGCGAGUUCUAUCGUGUAAAGUCAAUGAUAAGAGGCCUCGGCGGUGCAACGCCCUCGACCUAUUCUCAAACUUCAAAUAGGUAGGACGAUGCGACUUUUUUGUUGAGCCGUGCCAUGGAAUCAAGAGAUCCAAGUGCACCAUUUUUGGUAAGCCGAAGUGGCGAUGUAGGAUGAAUCGGAAGCCGGGUUACACUGCGAAACUGCGCGCUAACCUAGAUCCCACAAAGGGUGUUGGUCAAUUAAGACAGCAGGACGGUGGUCAUGGAAGUCAAAAUUCGCUAAGGAGUGUGUUACAACUCGCCUGCCGAAUCAACUAGCCCCGAAAAUGGAUGGAGCUUAAGCGCGCAAUCUACACCCGGCUGUCAGGGCAAGUGCCAGGCCCCGAUGAGUAGGAGUGCGCGGCGGGUCGGCCGUCGUCAAGCGUGGCAUGCCAUCAUAGCAUUUGGAAAACAGAUACGGUUGGACGACGUCGAGCGUGGCAUGCCAUCAUCGCCUUUGGACUAGCAGACACAGUCAGACGACAUCAGGCGUCGCAUGCCAUCGUCGCCUUUGGACUAGCUGACACGAUCGGACGACGUCGGGCGUGGCAUGCCAUCUUCGCACUUGGGCAGCACAGACGGUCGGAAGGCGUCGGGCGUGGCAUGCCAUAAUCGCACUUCGAUAGCACAGACGGUCGGCCGUCGUCGAGAGUGGCAUUCCGUCAUAGCCCUUGGACAGCACAAACGGUCGAUCAUUGUCGGACGUGCCUACACACAACGGUCGGUCGUGGCCGUCCCGCAUAGAUCGUGGCUUGCGCAACAUUGUUCGAUAACUAGACGAAACAUGCGGAUGUUCAUGACGUACAUGAAUCAAAGGAUUUUGAAACAACCUCCAUGCAUAUCAAACAUAUUCAUCGACUUUUUUUAUCUAUUCUCUAACGUUUCCACCUAACGUGGCUCUUUCACAUCAUUUUCAUUACUUCUACGGUGUUCGUAUGAUAUUGAAACAUCGUUUAUUUGUGCAAAGAUAUAUCUUAUCAUUAAUUAUACAUGUUUAGAAGUGUUUUCGAGCAUUUCCAUAUUUUUCCAACUAUUAAUCAUUAUUUUAUAAUUUAUUUUUACGCUUUUAAAUUUUUUACAUUCUCCUUUUAAAAAUAAAAACUUAAUAAAUUUUUUAUUUUAAGGUUCCCAUAUUUAUUUGUGAAUUUUCGGAGUUGAUUUCAUAUUUUAUUCGAUAUUUUCCCUAUUUUUUAUUAAUUUAUUACUAAUUUUUUGCAUAUUCCAAAAAAAAUAAAAAAAAGUUGAAAAAUAUUUUAUAUAUAUUAAAGUCAUUUGUGAAAGCAUAUGUGUGUUUGUACCUUAGAACGUGCAUAUUUGGGUUGUCUGGAAAAUCAAUGUCUACUCCUGUCACAUGGGUAAAACUUUUUUAAGCAUAUAUAAGGGGGGGGAGGGGGUAGAGGUGUUGGAUGCAGACUGAGGCAUAAGAAGGCAGACGACAUAGGCGUCCUUUGGGCUUAGUAGGCGUGCUACAUGGGCGCUUGACGACAUGCGUGGCUUGUCCGUGCUAUGCCGUUGGGCGUCGACAAAAACAUGCCAGCGACGUCUGUGGGGCAACUGAGGCGAAAGCAGGCGGACGUCAAGGGUGUCCUGUGGGCUUAGUAGGCGUGUUGUGUGGGCGCUUGACGGCAUGGAUGGCUCGUCUAUGCUUCGUCGUUGGGCUCUUACAAAAACAGGCCACCGACGUCUGCGGGGAGACCGUGCUCCGCCGAGGGAACUUCUCAAGAUUGGUUUAUACUAGCGUUUGGUGUGGAAACUGUAUCGCUUUCGUAUGAGUGGCGAGUUCUAGAGCUCUUGUUACAGCUAACUCUAGGCGUCGCACGCAUGGCGCACGUAAGGCCAUGUACGGCCACAGGGCUGUCCAGAGACGUCGACGGGAGCCUCGGGAAGAGUUAUCUAUUAUGUUUAACAGCCUGCCCACCCUGGAAUCGGCUCUGCCAAAGGUAGGGUCCAGCUGCUGGAAGAGCACCGCACGUCGCGUGGUGUACGGUGCGCUCCCGGCGGACCUUGAAAAUCUGGAGACCGAAUGUCGUCCACGCUGGGUCGUACUCGUAACCGCAUCAGGUCUCCAAGGUGAACAACCUCUGGUCGAUGAAACAAUGUAGGAAAGGGAAGUGUGCAAAGUGGAUCCGUAACUUCGGGAAAAGGAUUUGCUCUGAGGGAUGGGCACGUGGAUCCCAGUCCCGAACCCGUUGUUGGAUUGCUCGAGUUGCUCUCGCGGCGAGAGCGGGUCGCCGCGUGCCGUAUUGGGGACGGACAAGGGGAAUCCCACUGUUUAAUUAAAACAAAGCAUUGUGAUGGUCCCAAAGGAUGUUUACGCAAUGUGAUUUCUGCCCAGUGCUCUGAAUGUCAAAGUGAAGAAAUUCAACCAAGCGCGGUUAACGGCAGGAGUAACUAUGACUCUCUUAAGGUAGACAAAUGCCUCGUCAUCAAAUUAGUGACGCGCAUGAAUGGAUUAACGAGAUUCCCUCUGUGCCUGUCUACUAUCCAACAAAAGCAAAACAUAUAGAACGGGCUUAGCAGAAUUAGUGGGGAAAGAAGACCCUUUUGAGCUUGACUCUAGUUUGACUUUGUCAAAUGACUUGAGAGGUGUAGUAUAAGUGGGAGCCGAAAGGCGUAAGUGAAAUACCACUUUUUUUAAUGUUAUUUUACUUAUUCCGUGAAUCGGAAGCGGGGCACUGACCCUCUUUUUGGACCCAAGUCUCGCUUUGCGGGCCGAUCCGGGAAGGAGACAUUGUCAGGUGGGGAGUUUUGCUAGGGCGGCACAUGUGUUAAAAGAUAACGCAAGUGUCCUAAGAUGAGCUCAACGUGAAAAGAAAUCUCGUGUGUAAUAGAAAGGUAAAAGCUCGUUAUAUUCUAAUUUCCUGUACGAAUACGAACCGUGAAAGAGUUGCCUAACGAUCCUUUAGACCUUUGGAAUUCAAAGCUAGAGCUUUUUAGAAAAGUUACCACAGGGAUAAUUGGCUUGUGGCAGCCAAGCGUUCACAGCGACGUUGCUUUUUUAUCCUUCGAUGUCGGCUCUUUUGGUCACUGUGAAGCAUAAUUCACCAAAUGUUUGAUUGUUCACCCACCAAUAGGGAACGUGAGCUGGAUUUAGACCGUCGUGAGACAGGUUAAUUUUACCUUUGAAAAGCCAAUGGCGUGAAGCUACCGUGUGCUGGAUUAUGACUGAACACCUUUAAAUCAGAAUCUGGACUAGAAGCGACGCAUGUGCCCGCCGUCCGCUUGCCGACCGGCAGUAGGGGCCUAUGGCCCCCAUAGGCACGUGUCGUUGGCUAAGUCUCCUCAACAUAAGCGUCGUAGUGACCACCUUGAAGUACAAUUUCCAUGGAGCAGCGGGUAGAAUCCUUUGCAAACGACUUAAAUAAGCGACAGGGUAUUGUAAGUGGCAGAGUGGCCUUACUGCCACGAUCCACUGAGAUUCAGCCCUUUGUCGCUCCUAUUCGU
rfam:Solanum lycopersicum cultivar Heinz 1706 chromosome 11, whole genome shotgun sequence.